rnacentral:rRNA from 1 species
CUGGAGGUAUCAGAAGUGCGAAUGCUGACAUAAGUAACGAUAAAGCGGGUGAAAAGCCCGCUCGCCGGAAGACCAAGGGUUCCUGUCCAACGUUAAUCGGGGCAGGGUGAGUCGACCCCUAAGGCGAGGCCGAAAGGCGUAGUCGAUGGGAAACGGGUUAAUAUUCCCGUACUUGGUGUUACUGCGAAGGGGGGACGGAGAAGGCUAUGUUGGCCGGGCGACGGUUGUCCCGGUUUAAGCGUGUAGGUGUGUGUUCCAGGUAAAUCCGGUUCACUUUAACACUGAGGCGUGACGACGAGGCACUACGGUGCUGAAGCA